AAAUUACAAAAUAUUAGGAGGCGAAUUUUGACGCGCCUGACUAUACACAUCAAGCGCGAUGUGAUUUUGCGACUUUCAAGGGGGGAAAAAAGACGUGUCCCAGGUGGACGCGAGAAGACUGACACAACAGCAGACUGACUGUUUUUCAGUUCUGAUUAGACACUAGUGUUGAGAUGUCUGUCUGUCAUGAUAGCAUGUACUGAGUCGGGGCCAGUACCAGAUAAGCACAUUAAACUAUAAUCCAUAAACAUAAGGUAACAACUGAGACCUAAUGGUGCUGUGACAGCAACGUGAUUGAGUUUGAGACCGUGAAAAUACAUAUGGUAUGUUGUAUCUGAACAGGUUAGCUUACAAGCUAAAGUUACUUAGCACAGAUGAAAGUUCAAACAAAGACGUUUAGUAAACUGUUGAAGCACAAAAACCAUCGUCAUAUGAGAAAUCGGACGCUAUGACUCUCCACAAGUUGUCCUUCAGGUCGUUAUUUUAUCAAAAAGCACUCUGUUCUCCGACACAUAAACAAUCAGCUGGUUGGCCAUGUUGGAUAUAUUGGGGAAUCUGACGUCACAACAACACGCAAUCUGAUUGGUCAGAAGUGGACACACAGUAUGCGAAACUAGAAAAUUCGAGCGUGACACGAAGAAAUUAAAUGCUGCAAUGUCGCAGGACAGGAAAAUGUUGCUGAUGCGAAUGCUUGUAUUGACAGGAUACGGGUUCAAAAAAAAAAUAUUGAUGUAUGUAUGUAUAUAUAUAUAUAUAUAUAUACCCUCUCUUAAACCCAUGCAGUGGUAGGAAUUGGAAAAAAAAUGUCCUUAUGGGUGUCCUUCUAGCAGGUAAACACAAUAAAAAGCUCUGCUGAUGCACUCCAAGUGGAUAAAUUGCAAACACAUGGCCUUGUGAAUGGCAUGACUAGAGACAAAAUGUAAACAAAGAAGUAGAAGAAAGUAAACAGAGUGACACACGGAUAACCUUCGAGAGGAUAAAAUUUAAAGUACCCUCUAGAUUCCGUCGAAAAAGAAGUAAACAAAGUGCUACGUCAGGGUUGCAACAGGGGUGGCCAAUCAGAAUUGGGCAAGUGCCACCACUAACCAAUACCUUUGCAACGCCUCUGCAGAAAACAAUUUUUAUUACAUUUUUUUUACUUGUUUUUAUGUUUUAUUUUAACAGUGUGUUUUUUUGUGAGAAGCAUUUUAGAAAUAUUGUGGUUAAAAAAAUCUCAGAUAUUCGCUGUAAAUUAUUGUUUUUAUCUCCUUAUCCAUCAGCGCAUAUCAAUCAAAACUACCAACUUCAAUCGUCUGAAAUCGGAGGUACUGUAACAAGUCCCAAAAUGUCCAUUCUCUCCCUCUGUCUGUUGUACAAUUGCUGACGUCACGCUGACAUUCUCAUAGUGACAUUUUGCUGGCUGUGUCUUCAUUGUGUUCGCUAACAUGUCAAAGUCGGACUCCUGUCUUGGGGAAAAAAUAUGCCACCACCUUUUUGGACCCUCCUCAUUCACACUUCAACACCUGCACCAUAUGUCACAAGUUAUAAAGAAGACAUAUGACUUUUAAACCCCUGGCAUCAGAUUUGAUUCCGUCAAAUUCCUCGGUAAUGUACGUCUGAGUGGCUGUAAUUCAUUUAUUCAGCAGUUUUGCAUAUUAUGGGAUUUGCAUGCAAAUCAGCCUUUAAGUUCCAGAGCCACAGAGCUCGACUGCCCUUCUCAGCGGCAACACUGAGGCGGGACGUCUUUAAAACAGCAAGGGAAGCAGCAACACUAUUAUCUAAAGUAUUAAAAAUCAUGACAUUGCACAGCGUAAAUCCCAUGCCCAAUUGUUCCUUCUUAAAGACGGUGCUGGGCAGGAAAAUAAAGCCACAUGGAUCCCUGCAGGGGCUUAACAACUCGUUCAGCAGUAACAGGAUGGACCAAAGAUAAUGCCCUUGUAAGGCUGAGAAAGUCCUCACCCUCGUCGCCUUUCUUUAAACUGUGGAUGACACAAAACAUGUCAAGCCAAAGAUUAUCUGAUCACUGCCUCUCAUAACAUUUUCAAGCUGUGCCUGGUGGAGAAUAGGAGACAGGCGGAAAAUCCUUAACCUCAUUAGACACAGAGGAUUCAACAGCGCUGCGGAAAAUUGCUCAAUCAGACCAAGAGGAGCUUUGCGCGGCCUCCUAUUUUCCCGGCGAGGAUUACGAAUUCAGGAAGUGGCACUUUAUCAUUUGUUAUUUGUUGUUUUGAGAGUGUUGAAAGCCAGAUGUUCAAUCAAACGAGUCAUUGUCUGGAAAUCUAGAGCUCCCAAAACGAUGCCUGCAAAAGCCCAAUAUGCAAAACGCCGCUCCCCAAUCAGCACCAGUACCAAAGAACUCGGCAAACUGAGCGAUUGUGCAAAGUGGUCGAGGUAGCGGCGGCAGACAAGGCCCUGCUCUUCUUUCAGCGAGUGUUUCCCAGACCCUCAGAUCUUGUCCCAGCCAAAACGGAGGAGUGCAUCAAUUGCUCUGCUGAAUUUCCAUCCGUCUUCGUGGAUGAUUUCCCCCGUGGUCCCUCUUGUCGAACAUGGAGGUGGGGGGAGGGCGUGGGCGGUUCGUCUCAACAUCGUCUGUCUGCACUGUCACCUCAUCUGAAAAAAAACAGAGUCUUCCCAAAGUGUGAUUGAGCGCUGAGUUAAGUGGUCGACGGUGGAGAGCUUUCUUGGCUUCUUUCGCCUGAUGAGGUGAGGUGGGGCACAGAUGCCCGUUUCUGCAUCGGCAAGCAGAUGCACUCCGCGCCGGGGAUUCUUUCCUUUCAAUUAGUCCCAGCAAUCAAUGCAAUCUGUGUUUGGUAAUCUGCAGCUCUGUUGUUCUGGCAGAGGAAAAAACACUUCGAGAAGGAAAGACGGCUGGAGAGUGGAUGAAAAGUAGCUGCAGGAAUCUGAAAACAUACCAUAAAAAAUAGUUUUCGAAUAGGUUAAAAGGUUUUUGCAUUGAUUGAUUCAUUAUUCACGUCGUUAUUGUGCUGCUAUGUGAGCAUAUUGUGCUGACUUUUUGACCUGUAUGUUGAAAUAAGCGGCGUCCAUGAUUUCCAAAAAGAAUAUUAAAUAUCAAAUUUUGAUUAAUCAGACUUCUAGACAUUUUUCUGGCAUUUCUAGAUCAUAUAUGAUUGGUUCAACAUCAUCAACAGUACAUAUAGGGUCCCAGCCAUAGUUCUAGCCAUCAAACAUCUUUUUAACUUUGCCUGGUUUCCUUGGUUAAGAGACCAAACACAACUCACCCACUCUCCUCCAGCAGCCGCUUGUUUGUGGGGGAACCCUGACGAGUCGAUCACCAAGUGCAGCGGAAAAUUUAUGAUUAUUUCUUUAUGGAAAUGCAAUCAGACCGAGACACUAAUGCAGAAGAACUACCGCGUCUGCAUUGCACAUACAAGAUACACAAGAACUCUGAUUGUAUUCUUGCUCAAACAAUCAGAGUUUAGUUGAAAACACAGGCGUAGUCGCAAAAGUGCAGUAAUGGUGGUAUUUAUGUAUAGCAUGCCUUCCAAGGUCCAAAAAUGCAAAGGUGCAAAAAUGUUCAAAACAGUAUUUACAAUAUGUACAAGGAAAAAAAAAGGCAAGAGUUUAUUCAUUUACUUUAUUUAUUCAUUUAUUUAGCACAGAUUAAAAACAGUGCAAGGAGGGAAAGAAGCUCAUAUGCUUAUACAGAGUUCCACUCCCAUCAGGGCAGUGAUUAGGGAAAGAUCAAACAGAUACAGAUAAAUAGAACAUGGACUAAUCAUCAACCAGCCCAACCAGAGAUAGAGACAAUGUAAGUAUAUAUAAGAAGAAAAGAAACAUAUUUUAAAGGAUUUGAAGGAUAAUAUUGAUUUUAAGAGAUACAUCCAGAUCAUUCCAUAGUUUCGGCCCUCUAAAAGUGAUAUUAGACUGAUGACAAGAAGUUCAACAGAGAGGUGACUGAAGAUGGCCAGUGUGUCUUGUUGAGUACGGGUGAAGGCCAGAUGAAAAGGUUAAAAAGUUUUGGAAGGAGUCAGGAAGGUCUUGUUUCCUAUUUGUGAACUUAUGGACAAACAAGCAAGAGUGAAAGACAUUGAGUUUGUCAAGAUUGAGUAUUUAGAAAAGAGAGGUGCAGAAAAAACCCAAACGUUGGGACCCAAAAAUUAAAAUGAAAUGAAAUAAAAAUAACACAGUGGCUAUACAAAGAUCAGCUCAGCAGUUACCUUUGAUGCAACCAAAUCCAGACUAAAAGAAAGAGCCAGGCAUUCUUCUUUCAACCCCCCUAAGCCAUCCUAUUGAGCGUUAUUAAUUACAUAAGUUUGGAGAAAAAAAAAAAAUCAUUCAUAUCGAAACCAUUUAAAUACUUUUCAAUUUUCACAGUAGGUUUUUACCAAUUUUACUAGGAUUUCACACCAGACAAAAGAGCAUGAAUUUUUAGGGAUUUAUUGCAAACAACAAGGGCUCCAUUUCUCCCGCGUCAUGUGACCAAUUUGACCCGACACACCCACUUAUUUACCACAUGGAGAUCAUGUGCACAGUUUCCUCGUUUGGAAACAUGUGCAGACAUGACGACGUGAAUGGACGCAGCUCUGUCUUACGUGGACAGGGGUAAAAAAAAAACUUUUUCAAGAAUGAACUCAGACGGAGACAGCUUAUAUGAUAAUGGUAAUUUGUGUUAGUCAUGUAAUUGGAGUCCUGUAGCUAAAGAAAAUCACCAUUGUUCACCAAUGUUCUUCUUCAAUCAGCCCGGAAAAAACACGUUAUUAUUAGAUCAUGUUUGUACUCUGGCGUCUUUUUUUGCAUAUGGUGACUCAUGCAGUCACUUCCACUUCGGGGUCAUAGAAAAUAUAUAAGGGAGAGUGGGGUAAGAUGAGCCAUUUUUCAUGUGUCGGAUCACUACAUCAAGGCAGUCAUAGUUUAGUCUCUAACUAGUGUAUCUGCUUAUAUUUCAAGAUGUUGUGCAUCCCUGCAAACCAACAGAAUGAGUGUAAACAUAAACUGUCUUGAUAAUAUAGCAAGCCUAAAAAAGUGGUCUCCUAUGGUCAACUUACUCCAUGUAUGGGGUAAGUUGCUCAUAGAUACCACAAUUGAUGUAUAAAACCAAUUUAAAAUUAUCUUUUUUGGUCUGAAUGCAUUUCUAAUAAAACUUCUGACAGACUAAAUUCCCUGUCAAGAGUGAAAAAUGUCUUUUUGUAAAUAAAUGUCUAACUCCUUCACCCAUGUGCUUCUAACCUUCACAGACUCCAUGAAUUGAUGCCCAUCUCCUAAAUAUUUGGUCACAUGAUCAAUUUAUUUUACCAUUUCCAAGCAACAGUGGGUGGCUCAACUUAACCUUUUGGCUCAACUUACCCCACUCUCCCCUAAAUACAUAGGACAAAAAACAAAAAAAACAAACCACAUAAUAGGGCCCGAUCAAUAUGGAUUUUUCGGGCCGAUGCCGAUUAUUAGGGGGUAAAAAAAUCUGAUUACGAUUAAUCGGACAAUGUUUUAAUUUUUUUAUUUACGCCGCUUACGAUCGGUGCCUCCAUGUCUUAACUCACGUUACUCAUUUCCAGUCUGGUCUCAUCUGGAGACGUGCAGCUGCCUCAGUAAGAGAAGUAGCUCGAUCACGUUAUGUGUACUGUUGUUUAUUCUACCGUUACUGGCACGGCUAACAGUGUAGCAAAGCUAAUAGCAGAUGGCUAACUCUCAGGUUAGCUUGCAUAUUACAUGGCGCUUCACCAUUAACUCGGCGUGACCGAGACCAGCACAGCGGGGAACAUCGUGAAGUGGGUUGAACUGAAACUUGUUGACUUAUUGUGUAUUUCACAAACUUGUUUAUUCACCGUUGAGAUGGACCACUCUCCUCCGUGCGUCCCUGAGCUGCCUGCUUCAGAUCUGUCACUCUGCUGUGCUGUGAAGUAGUUAGUGGAUGAAGAUUGUCAUGAGGUCGCUGCGCCAUCUACAGGAUAAGUUGGGGAACUUUUCAAAUAGCGGAACAUUUUUGAAGUGAAACCGAAUCUUAUUCUCCGCAUUUUAUUUCUGAAAAUAUCAGCGAAAAUCAGUUUUGGCCGAUUACCAAUUCGUCUCAAACGGGCUUAAAUUGGCCGAUAUAAUCGGCUCGCCGAUAAAUCGGUCGGGCCCUACCACAUAUUCAAGUCAUGUUUUAUUUUCAUGCAAUGCUACCUGGACCUGACGAUCAUGGACAUCUGAUAUUUGUUUUUAGCCUUGUAGUUUUAGCCUAGUUCUAGCAGAUGAUAAAACUCUCGAAUCCUUUUCAGUUUUAUGCCAAGGAACAUCACAUUAAAACUGUUGAGAUAUUUGCAGUAGCAGUCUCUGAUCUCUCCCUAUUAUCACCUUUGAGAGACUCAGCCUCUCUGGCUCUUUAACAUUUGGUCUCUUUGCACAACUCCAAUUAAAUGUAUCAUUUAAAUGAUAAGCUAACUAUCACAUCAGCUUUUUUUUUAGAAUCAACACAAACUUUUAUGUACUUGAAAAGGAAACUCAAAUCUGAACUCCAAUCAAAUUGUUGACCUGGCGAGUGAAGGCGCAUAGACGUGUGAAAAUGUCUAAAGUUUUGUCCUAAUUUGGUGAAAUCCCCUUGAAUAAGAACUGUUUAUCAGAUCUUUGAACGGUGCUAUUAGUCUGCCCUACUUCAAGCUAAAUUAGAGCCAACUUAUAACACAGCAGAACCACUGGGGAUAGGAGGAAAUGGGUACCUUACAGCAUUUCUUUAUCACCCAGAGGUCAUUUAUAGAAUUCCUUAAUUUAUGUUUCAACCGGUCUUCCCUGUGAUCCAUUAAAAACUGGCAAAGGUUCUUAGUGCAUGUAAGCGUGCUCUUACAUCUUAAUUGAUUUGUUUGUUGAUCUCUACCUGGAGAGUAAGCAAAAUGGAUUUUCCAUCGGAUUCUAGCAAGCUGGCCACCCGUCAUGCAAAUGGGGGAGAUGUUCCUCCUGCACAAAGCCGUGAGAAUAAAUCACGCAUUAUGCGGUAGCACCAUUCUGCAUUAAUCUCAAUGAAAACUACAGUAUGCAGUGUCGUUGUAUCUUGAUGGUACUCUUCCAGCUUUGCAUGAGAGGAAUAUUCAAAUUUGCAUAAUAUCAACAAGAGAAUGCGGAUUCCAUUAAAAAAAAGGCAUGUUUAAGGAGGGGGUCUUCAAUCAUAAAUGCAUGCAGAAUGUGCAGACUGUGAUAUGUUGGCUCAGAGAGGUUGUUUCAGAAAUUCAGCGCUGUUCAGUUUCAUCAAAAUCAGCUCUAAAGUGACAUACCUUAACACUGUUUAAGCCUUAUGAUUUUUCCCUCCCUCUGACCUUUUCCAAACCACCUUCUUGCUCCGUUAUAAUCCAUUUCAUUAGUUUUUGUUGCCUGUAACUCUGUUUUUUUUCUGCCUUGAUUUCAUUAGAUUAUCUCUGCUUGACCUCUUAGAUUACAUGGAUGGAUCCACUUCAGUGGAUAGGUGAAGGUGCCGACAAAGCCGAGACCUUCUACCCUCUAAUCAGAUGGGCUCUUCCUCCGUCAGCUGGUCGAAUUUUAAACCAUCAACUUAAUUCCCCUCAGUGCUGGUGAGUGUCUUUGGCCUGUCUGGCAUUUUCCAGAUAUGUUGUUUUAAGCCUGGUUGGUUGGUUGGCCUUUGCCUUUAUCUGACAGGACAGUGGAUAUGUGGGGAAGUAAGAGGGGUUGACAUGCCUCAAAGAGCUGGGGGUCAAAGCCUAACCCAAGGCUUCUUAGAUGAGGUCUCUAUUUCUGGAUAAAGGGCACGCACUCUACCAAAUUAGCACACUUAGAAAAUAUCACCAACCGCAGUUAAAUUUUAAUCACCUGGAAGUAUCUAUGUUUAGAUGUCCUUUGGUAAAACUUAGCUGUGAGAAAGAGGAUUUUAAAAUCGACAGUUAGCGUUUUGGUUGAUAAAGGAGAGGGUUCGAAACUAACUUCUCUACCUGGUAGCACCAAAGCGUCUUCUUUAACAAGUUUAGGAGCAGCCACCGAAAAUUAAAUCAAAUCAACAAAUUGUAUCAGUCCGACUGAAACUGGACUUUCUAAAGCACUGUGAACAUGUUAGCUGGAUGUUGCGGAUAGGGAUCGAUUUCCUCUCUUAUAUUUCAUCGUAACGAAACCUGUCCAAGCAUUCUGUUCAUGCUCUACAGUUUGCAUGCCUGGACGUUCAAGAGCAUAAAUGCCGGGGACAGACAAAGAAAGGAUAUUAAAAAAGACGAUAUUUGUUUGUUUUUCGUCGUUAGCCUCACACUUCGGCAUUUUGUUGAUCGCUUCAGAACGUAAUAAGUCGACAGGAGAGGACCUGGUGGUAUUUAGCUAAAAGGGGGCCACAAUGGAGGAUUUGAUGGAUGUUUUCUUGGUGAAAGCUGCCAUCUUGGCACCGUUAUGUUGUCUGUGGUUGGGUCAGUACAUCUUGCAAACUGUUUUAGAGCUAUAGUGUGUUUUUCUGUAACUUUUGUCAGGGUUCGUUGUCAGUCAGUGCGUUUACGCGCACAGCUUAAUCGGACUAAGCUCAUAAUUCGUUUUUUUUUUUUUCAGACAUCUCUCCUCUUUCUCAAAACUAGGGGGCGAUAUGGGUCUUUUCAGCGGCACUGUUUCCGGACCUUUUUUAAAGAUGUUUCCAUUCUUCGUUUUGCGACCGUCCAUAUACUUUAAAAUGUCCAUUUCUGUCAGGACGGAAAGCAUAACGGCACUCUCCACGUCAUUCCAAAAGUUGACAUUCUUUCGUGCUUCAGCCAUGCUGCAGUUGCUUCUGAGUCGAGAGUUCUUUAAACGAUAGUGCUGCAUUUUCUCUGGCGUUUUCGUUCCAGGGUUAUGGGAUCAUAAUCAGACAACGCUGUUUACAUGGUAGAGAAAAUCGAAUUCCAAUCGCAUUUUCUGGGUGUCUUAAUCGGAGUUCUCCGACUCCAAUUGGAGUUCUCAAACUCCGAUUAUAGUUGGACUAAGGUGUUUACAUGCACUUCAGUUGUCCGGUCUUAAGGUCCUUACACACCGGGAAUAACGCAAAUAUACAACGCGAAAUUACGAAAUAUUCACAGACUAAUUUUGACGCGCCUGACUAUACACAUCAAGCCCGAUGCGAUUUUGUGACUUUCCAAAGGAAAAAAAAAAGCGUCCCAGGUGGGAGCGAGAAGACUGACACAACAGCAGACUGACUGUUUUUCAGUUCUGAUUAGACACUAGUGUUGAGAUGUCUGUCUGUCAUGAUAACAUGUACUGAGUCGGGGCCAGUACCAGAUAAGCACUUUAAACUAUAAUCCAUAAACGUAAGGUAACAACCGAGACCUAAUGGUGCUGUGACAGCAACGCCAUUGAGUUUGAGACAGUGAAAAUACAUAUGGUAUGUUGUAUCUGAACAGGUUAGCUUACGAGCUAAAGUUACUUAGCACAGAUGAAAGUUAAAACAAAGACGUUUAGCAAACUGUUAAAGCACACAAACCAUCGUCAUAUGAGAAAUCCGACGCUAUGACUCUCCACAAGUUGUCUUUCAGGUCGUUAUCUUUGUAAUAUUUGUGUUUUUUAUCAAAAAGCACUCUGUUCUCCGACACGUAAACAAUCAGCCGGUCGGCCAUGUUGGAUAUACCGGUGAAUCUGACGUCGCAACAACACGAAAUCCGAUUGGUCAGAAGUGGACACACAGUAUGCAAAACUUUAGAAAAUUCGACUGUGAUAUGAAAAAAUAAAUGCCGCAAUAUCGCAGGACGGGAAAACGUUGCUGAUGUAAACGCUUGUAUUGACAGGAUACAGGUUUGAAAAAAAAUAUUGA